AAAACGGUUCACACUGACCUGUUACAUGUAUCUGUUGUACAUUUGGAGUGUUGUGGAACUAAGCAAAUAUAGAACAACACUGACAUGCCUCUUAUUUACUGUUGCACAUACAGAAGCAACACAAUGCAUUUAUGCGACUAGGACUUUAAAGAAAUAGUUCACCCAAAAGGAAAAAUGGACACUAAGGCCAUUAAAGCUUUUCACUUCUCGAGACAUUAAUUGAUGGACUGGAGUGCCGUGGACUAGUUGUUAAAUUUUGUGAUGUUUUUAUCAGCUGUUUGGACUCUCAUUCUGACGGCACCCAUUCACUGCAGAGCAUUCAUUGGUUAGCAAGUAAUGGAAUGCUACAUUUCUCCAAAUCUGUUCUGAUGAAGAAGCAAACUUAUCUACAUCUCUGAUGGCCUGAGGGAUGGGUCAUAAACUUGGCCAGAAUCACGUCUUGGCUGCUGGUUUGGGUGGAGGUGGAAAGAAGCGCUAUACAGCCAGCCUGAAUGUACCUGACGACCUCAGAGACCAGAGUCAAACAGAAACAGACUGGGUGGCAUAUAGUCAUUACAGCGCACACAGAUCAAGGCUUUAUGGGAAGGGAAAAUUUCAGCAGGGGCCCAGAGUUUCUGCCUAUGAGUGCUUUUAAAAAUACUGAACUGCUUUUUAGAGUCAGCUUGUGUAGGUGUAUCUAUUCCUGUAUACUUCUCUCUUGGUCAUGCUUUUUAAAAGAAUUUGUAUUUUAUAGUAACCCAAAUGUAUUUCUGUGUAAUGUGCAUAUCAGUGUUUCUCUUAAUUGCUUAUAUAUUUAUUUUCACAAUGUGUAUUCAUGUCAAUUCUGGAAUUUGCACUGGCGAUCUGGUUUUGUAUUACUUUAUUGGACACUGACAUGUUAAUUAAAAUAUUUUUCCC
ensembl:lncRNA